CUUCCAAAAGUUGUAUCUUUGUAGAACAUGAUUUUACAAAUUUUCUGGAAUUUAUUUGGACCAAUUUGGAGUUCAAACUCAAAAGAUAUCAAAGAAAUGAGAAAAACAGAAAAAAGAAAAGGGUAAAGGAAAAAAAUGGGGGAGCAAAUGGACCGGCCCGGCCAUUUUGGGCCGAACCGGCCCAGUCCAACUGCGCCCGACCGCGCGCACCCCGCCCCG
rnacentral:lncRNA from 1 species